UACGUAGGGUGCAAGCGUUGUCCGGAAUUAUUGGGCGUAAAGAGCUCGUAGGCGGUUUGUCGCGUCGGCUGUGAAAUCCCGAGGCUCAACCUCGGGUCUGCAGUCGAUACGAGCAAACUAGAGUGUUGCAGGGGAGACUGGAAUUCCUGGUGUAGCGGUGAAAUGCGCAGAUAUCAGGAGGAACACCGGUGGCGAAGGCGGGUCUCUGGGCAAUAACUGACGCUGAGGAGCGAAAGCGUGGGGAGCGAACAGG
rnacentral:rRNA from 1 species